CUUUUGGUUCGGAAUAACAUCGGGAAACUGGUGCUAAUACCGGAUAAGCCCUUCGGGGGAAAGAUUUAUCGCCAAUAGAUGGGCCCGCGUUAGAUUAGCUAGUUGGUGAGGUAACGGCUCACCAAGGCAACGAUCUAUAGCUGGUCUGAGAGGAUGAUCAGCCUCACUGGGACUGAGACACGGCCCAGACUCCUACGGGAGGCAGCAGUGGGGAAUAUUGGACAAUGGGGGAAACCCUGAUCCAGCCAUGCCGCGUGAAUGAUAAGGCCUUCGGGUUGUAAAGUUCUUUUGGCGGGGACGAUGAUGACGGUACCCGCAGAAUAAGCUCCGGCUAACUUCGUGCCAGCAGCCGCGGUAAUACGAAGGGAGCUAGCGUUGUUCGGAAUUACUGGGCGUAAAGGGCGCGUAGGCGGCUCGAUUAGUUGGAUGUGAAAGCCCAGGGCUCAACCCUGGAAUUGCAUUCAAUACUGUCUUGCUUGAAUUCGGUAGAGGUUGGUGGAAUUCCCAGUGUAGAGGUGAAAUUCGUAGAGAUUGGGAAGAACACCCGUGGCGAAGGCGGCCAACUGGACCGACAUUGACGCUGAGGCGCGAAAGCGUGGGGAUCAAACAGGAUUAGAUACCCUGGUAGUCCACGCUGUAAACGAUGCAUGCUAGACGUUGGAAACCUCAGGUUUCCAGUGUCGCAGCUAACGCACU
rnacentral:rRNA from 1 species